AAAAUGAUGCUCUUGACUUAAUAAUCCAAACCCGAUCUAUUAAUUGAGCAUAAGAGAAAGGAAUAUUCCCUCGAGUGAGUCACCCCUCUUGCGUAGAAUAAGACCGCCCCACCUGUCAGGUUUGACGACUUCCAUUCGACCAAUCAGAAGCUAGAAUGGUGGUCGGUCUUUGUCGGCUGCUAAAAUGUGCUUCUCUCAUUCUGAGAACGUCUCGAUGGAGAAGUUGACAUGGUUUCCGCUCAGUUACAAAUUAAAGGUAAACUAUACUUUGAUUAUUUGACAAAAAAACAAUCAUCAGCUUACGGAACGGCACACGACAAACCGGUAUAUUAACUCGAUCGGUUAGGGUUAGCCACCUAAUGCGUAAAAUCCUAUAACGGAAAAUCAAAGCGUUAAUAAUCACGUUUUUAAAAUCGCUCGAUUGUUAUUUUUAACGCUUAAACGUUUUUAAAAAAAAAAAAAAUCCGAAAUUUUUAUAUUUCGUACACUCGACGACCUGUCACGAUCGGUUUUGAAUUUUUUUUUAUUUUUAUUCCCGUGUGAUGUCAAUUUUCGUCGUGUUAACCGCCGGCGUAUCAGCUACGAUCUUUCGAGAAUUCAAAAUUUCAAAAAAAAAAAAUGUCUUUGGUGGAAACUUAAACGUUAAUUUUUCUCAUACGAAGUACGUAUAUAUAUAUAUAUACGGUAUUCGAUUUAAAACUAAACGAGAUAGCAAGAAAAGUGUUUAUCGAGUUAUCGAUUACACACUACGCAGCAUCACACUUAAAAAUGGCCAAAAAUUAGACGUGUCACUUUAACAAGUUGUAACCAUAUAUAUUUUAUCGUUACGACACUUAAAACAAUUGUUCUCUGUGUAGUGAACGUUUGUUUCUUUCGCUGUAUAACUAUUAUAAUGGUAAAAGACGUUGAACAAGAAGUAAAUUUUCGAGUAAACACUUACAGUAUAUACAAGUAGAACAGGUUAGACCAAGGUCGUUCAAUGCCAUCUUUUAUGUUCAGUCACGAACAUCGGAACAAAUUUCGGCAAAAUUUAAUGUGGCGAAAGAAAAGAGAGUGGGACGACUUAGGAAGAAAAUAAUUAACUUUUCUCCCCCUUUUUUUCUUUCUUUCUUAAGGGCGAUGUUUCUUGUCAUCUGUGUGUACUUUUCCGGUUCUAGAAUCGCCUACUUCAGGAACAAAACUGGUAUGUGCAGUUGAUACAGCAUAAAUACAAUACAAGAAUGCAAAUAGCUGCAUAGUUUGCUUCAUUGUUUCUCCACCACACAUGCUGGUUCGUUUACAAAAAUCUUUUUUUUUUUUUUCUGUAUUCGCUCAUCGUUACAGCAUUCGAUAGACGUUUCCACACCGAUGA
rnacentral:lncRNA from 1 species